UGAGAGUGGCGCACGGGUGCGUAACGCGUGAGCAACCUACCCAUAUCAGGGGGAUAGCCUCUCGAAAGAGAGAUUAACACCGCAUAACAUCAUUUACCGGCAUCGGUUUUUGAUCAAAUAUUUAUAGGAUAUGGAUGGGCUCGCGUGACAUUAGCUAGUUGGAGAGGUAACGGCUCACCAAGGCUACGAUGUCUAGGGGCUCUGAGAGGAGAAUCCCCCACACUGGUACUGAGACACGGACCAGACUCCUACGGGAGGCAGCAGUAAGGAAUAUUGGUCAAUGGAGGCAACUCUGAACCAGCCAUGCCGCGUGCAGGAUGACUGCCCUAUGGGUUGUAAACUGCUUUUGUCAGGGAAUAAACCUUUCUACGUGUAGGAAGCUGAAUGUACCUGAAGAAUAAGGAUCGGCUAACUCCGUGCCAGCAGCCGCGGUAAUACGGAGGAUCCAAGCGUUAUCCGGAUUUAUUGGGUUUAAAGGGUGCGUAGGCGGUCCUAUAAGUCAGUGGUGAAAGACGGCAGCUUAACUGUCGCAGUGCCUUUGAUACUGUAGGACUUGAAUCUAUUUGAAGUGGGCGGAAUAAGACAAGUAGCGGUGAAAUGCAUAGAUAUGUCUUAGAACUCCGAUUGCGAAGGCAGCUCACUAAGUUAGUAUUGACGCUGAUGCACGAAAGCGUGGGGAUCAAACAGGAUUAGAUACCCUGGUAGUCCACGCCCUAAACGAUGAUAACUCGAUGUUUGCGAUACACAGUAAGCGUCCAAGCGAAAGCGUUAAGUUAUCCACCUGGGGAGUACGGUCGCAAGAUUGAAACUCAAAGGAAUUGACGGGGGCCCGCACAAGCGGAGGAGCAUGUGGUUUAAUUCGAUGAUACGCGAGGAACCUUACCCGGGCUUGAAAGUUAGUGAAUGAUCCAGAGACGGAUCAGUCCUUCGGGACACGAAACUAGGUGCUGCAUGGCUGUCGUCAGCUCGUGCCGUG
rnacentral:rRNA from 1 species